rnacentral:rRNA from 1 species
AUGUUUGCAGACAUAGAUUUUAGAAAGCACCAACCUUCUGGUAAUGCAACCUCUACUAGUAUGGUGCCCCUGGAUGUUCCAAGUCAGGCACCUGAGAAGAUUAAUUCUCUGAAUCAAGUGAUUUCAGCAGAUGUACCAUGCAAGGCUCCUGUUGAUUUUGAUACGAGAGAACUUUACUUUCUCAUUGCGCACUUCUUAUCACAUGGUCCAUUAAAGCGGACUGCUGGAGAACUUUGCAGUGAACUCCAGGAGCAUCAUCUGCUUCCUAGAAGAUAUCAUGCUUGGUAUUCGCGUGGUGGUUUCCAUAGUGGCGAAGAAAAUGAUGACGGUGUAUCACUCCCUUUGGAUUACCUCAAGUUAGUUGAGAGAUAUCCCCACAUUGGUAAAGACCACUUGGUAAAGCUUUUAAAGCAACUGAUGGUUGGUUCCUGCCACCCAGAGAGCUUGAUUGGAGCUGUGUCUCCAAAUGCUGCUGAUGUUCCAACCCUUCUUGGCUCCAACUCAUUUUCCCUUCUUGCAUCUAAUAGGGGCCGGCAAGAAAAGGAAAAUCACAGGUUGCCGACGUAUCUCCGUUGGCCACAUAUACAGGCUGAUCAAGUUCAUGGUUUAAGUUUAAGAGAGAUUGGUGGCUUCACUAAGAAUCAUCGAGCUCCUUCUGUCCGUGCAUCAUGUUAUGCCAUUGCGAAGCCAUCUACCCUUGUUGAAAAGAUGCAAAUUAUAAAGAAAUUGAGGGGACAUCAAAACGCUGUGUAUUGUGCUACUUUUGAUCGCACAGGGCGUUUUGUUAUUACUGGUUCUGAUGAUCGCCUUGUUAAAAUUUGGGCAAUGGAAACUGCAUUUUGUCUGGCUAGCUGCCGAGGUCAUGAAGGUGAUAUUACUGACCUCGCGGUGAGUUCCAAUAAUGCUGUGGUAGCAUCUUCAGCCAAUGAUUUCGUUAUUAGAGUGUGGCGUAUACCUGAUGGCAUGCCGAUCUCAGUGUUGAAGGGGCAUACAGGGGUUGUAACUGCUAUUGCAUUUAGCCCAAGGCCAGGUGCUGCUUUCCAGCUAUUGUCAUCAUCAGAUGACGGGACAUGCAGGAUUUGGGAUGCCCGAUAUUCUCAACAACCUCCACGAAUAUAUACACCAAAACCUCCAGAUGCUGCCCCUGGGAAGAGUGGUGAUGCAUCUUCCAGUGCUGUUCAAGUUCAACCAAUAAAUCACCAAAUCUUGUGUUGUGCAUUUAAUGCCAAUGGAACUGUGUUUGUUACUGGCAGCUCAGACACUUUUGCAAGGGUGUGGAAUGCUUGCAAGAGUAGUUCUGAGGAACAUGACCAGCCGAAUCAUGAGAUGGAUGUAUUAUCGGGCCAUGAAAAUGAUGUAAACUAUGUGCAGUUUAGUGGAUGUGUGGUAUCUAGAUCCUUUUCAUCUGAAGGCAGCCACACCACUAAGGAAGAAAAUAAUCUUAAACUAAGAAAUUCAUGGUUCACACAUAAUAUUGUUACUUGCUCCCGUGAUGGCAGUGCAAUUAUAUGGGUUCCACGAUCUCGGAGAUCGCAUGGAAAGAUUGGACGAUGGACACGUGCUUACCAUCUCAAGGUCCCUCCACCUCCAAUGGCUCCUCAACUAGUUCGUGGUGGCCCACGACAAAGACAUCAGCCAACUCCUCGUGGUGUCAAUAUGAUUGUCUGGAGUUUGGAUAACCGAUUUGUGCUUGCUGCUAUCAUGGACUGCAGAAUUUGUGUUUGGAAUGCUUCUGAUGGGAGCUUAGUACAUUCACUGAUUGGCCACAAGGAAUCUACAUUUGUUCUUGAUGUGCAUCCAUUCAACCCUCGUAUAGCAAUGAGUGCUGGGUAUGAUGGCAUGACAAUCAUCUGGGAUAUAUGGGAAGGAAAACCUGUACAGAUCUAUGAAACCGGUCAUUUUAAGCUAGUUGAUGGCAAGUUCUCUCCGGAUGGAACAUCACUUAUCCUCACCGAUGAGAUUGGCCAAAUAUUCUUUAUUGGUACAGGGCAGGGUGAGUCCCAGAAGGAUGCGAAAUAUGAUCAGUUCUUUCUUGGAGACUAUCGACCCCUUACUCAAGAUACAAAUGGAAAUGUUAUUGAUCAGGAGACACAGCUCCCACCUUAUAGGAGAAAUAUUCAAGACCUUUUGUGUGACUCGGGUAUGAUGCCAUACCCAGAGCCUUUUCAAAGCAUGUACCAGAAACGGCGAUUAGGUACCAUGGGUAUUGAGUGGCGGCCUCCCUCUGUAGAUUUUGCUGUUGGCCCCACGUACAAUGCAACCACUGGUGAAUACCAGAUCAUCCCAGUCAUUGAUCCAGAUAGUGAAGGAGAACAGGAGAAUUUGAGUGGUGAUUCCUCUGGUGCUUCAUACUCAAGUGCAGAGAUUGAUGGGAACAACCUUAGCGAUAGUGCUAAUCUUCGCAGAUCUAGAAGAAAGAAGAAAAAAUCAAAGGCUGAUCUUGUGACUUCAUCUGGUCGGCGAGUUAAGAAGAGGAAUUUGGAUGAGCAUGAUGCUGCUACUGUGUCAAGGUCACACAGAGCUAGGAAGUCUAAGAAUGGUCGCUCUAGUAAAAGGAAAAGAUCACCUAAAUCUAGGGGAUUGCGACCUCAAAGACGCGCUGCUCGCCAUGCACUCAGUUUUUUAACAAAGAUGGGAGCUUCAACAGAUGAGGAUGAAGAGGACUCAGAGAGUCUCUCAGACAGUGAAUUGAACACGGAAAGCAUUGAAGCUGAGCCGUCAGCAUGGUAUAGCCGGCCAAGACUUGGUAGAGAGAGUAACCAAUAUGAUUCAGAAGAUGUUACACAACCUUCUCAUUUCACUGAAACUCGGGGGAGUUCUGGAAAUAACAGAAAACUGGUCCUGAGGAUACCACGCCGUGAUUUAAAAGUUGAAUUUCCAUCAGCUGUAUCAGUCAUGGGGGGCAGACAUGGAUCAGUUGAGCCGGAACUAGCUUUUGAGCCUGGAAGUUCCUCUGUUUGCAAGGCUGACCCACCUGCAGAUGGAGGUCAAAGCACAACAACCUCUGGUCUACAUGAUGUUUCUUCUGUUUAUAGUAACAGCACAAUCAAGUGGGGUGAGGUUAAGCAGCGAUCUUCAAAGCGUUGCAAGUUUGGUGACUCUUCCGCUGGAGACAUGUGGCCCUCUUCAAAUAAUGCAGUUUCACAGGAUGGUGGCAAAUCUGGUGUUCAGAAGACACCUCAUGAAUAUGGUAACGCCAUGCAACAAACGGUUGAGCAGACUGUACAAAAGAGUGAACGUGCAAUUUGUCUGGAUAGCAUCCAUGAAAAUCACGAUACUGAUGUUUAUAGUGAAGAUAAUUUACUUGGUGAAGAAAGGACAACUAAUAACAAUAAUACUCAUGUAGAGGAAGUAAACAACAAAGAAUGCAACCAACAGUCCCACAGUACUACUCAGUCUACUAUCAAACUGAAGUUAGUCAGGUCAAGAGGCAUUCCAGAUGCAAAAGGUUCACCGGACAAAUCAAAGACUACUGCAGUAGGGAGUGACGUGAACUCUGAGUGUGAUAAAGUUCCCAUGCAGCAUGAUGAGGAUCCUACCACCAAUCAACAUAUAAGCAGUGACUUCCCUAGUGCGUCUAGAGAUUUCCAGGAAUGCACAGAUAAAAGCACUGGUUUUCAUGAUUCAAGGAAGUUCCAUUCUGAAUCUGGGAAGACGAUUGCUGUGUACCAAAGGUCAAAGUUAAGUAAGCACAAGAAAAAAUUGGAUUCAGAUUCUGGCAAUGGAGAUAGUACCUCCGUCUCCAAUGAUGAUGGUGGGUAUCAACCUUCAGAGUACAGUCCUGUUGCACCUGGUACUGGUAAUUUGCGAAGAAGCACAAGGAGGUCAUGUGCAUACACUGAUGGUGGAGCAAGGAAUGCUAUCUCUCAUGUGAAAAAUUCUUCCCAUGAAGCAUCAACUAGUGGGAGACAAAUUGGUGCAGACGUGCAUGAGUGGGGUUCACCAUCAAAGACUGCUGGUUUAAGGUCUACUAGGAACAGAGUUCCUGAUACACAUUCAUUGGCAGAAAAGCCUCAAGUAUCCUCGAGUUGUUGGUUGAUGUUGUUGGAGCAUGAAGAUAUUUACCGUUAUAUUCCUCAACAUGGCGAUGAGGUUAUGUACCUGCGACAGGGCCAUGAAGAAUAUCUUAAAGGAAUGCGAUUAUCGGAUAGUUGCCCAUGGAAUCGGAUCAAAGGCCUUAAAGCUGUAGAGCUUUGCAAAAUUCAGGAUCUUUGUUAUACCACUUAUAAAGGGUCUGGUGAAAGCUGCUGUAAAUUAACACUUAAAUUCAUUGACGACACUUCAAGCGGGUUUAACAGAGAGUUUGUAAUCACAUUGCCUGAGCUGGUUGGCUUCCCCGAUUUUCUGGUGGAAAGAACACGGUUUGAAGCUGCUGUUGCGCAGAACUGGACUAUCAGAGAUAAGUGCAGAAUUUGGUGGGCGAAUGAUGAGGGAGGAGGAAGUUGGUGGGAGGGACGUGUGUUGGCAAUAAGACCUAAGUCACCUGAUUUUCCUGAGAGUCCAUGGGAUAAAUAUGCCGUACAGUACAAGAAUGAUGGUUCAGAUCAUCUGCAUAGCCCCUGGGAGCUCUAUGAUGCUGAUAGCCCAUUGGUUCCAUGGAAACAUCCACAUAUUGAUUCCAGUAUUAGGAAUAAAUUGUUAUCAGCAGUGAAUAAUUUACAGAACAAGUCUCGCAGAAACCAGGAUCACUAUGGUGUCCUGAAGUUGGAUACUGUUGCAGGAAAAUCAGAGUUCAUAAACAGGUUUCCUGUCCAGUUUUCCAUGGAGGUGAUCAGGACAAGACUGCAAAAUGGUUACUACAGAAGCGUGGAGGCUGUCCAACAUGAUGCCUCUGUGAUGCUUGCCAAUGCCGAGUCUUACUUCUCAAAGAGCGCGGACAUGACCAAGAAGCUUCUCAGGCUAUCCGAGUGGGUCGAAGAUAACAUCCUAUCACUUUAG